GGCGCACGGGUGAGUAACGCGUAUGCAACCUACCUAUCAGAGGGGAAUAACCCGGCGAAAGUCGGACUAAUACCGCAUAAAACAGGGGCACCGCAUGGUGAUAUUUGUUAAAGAAAUUCGCUGAUAGAUGGGCAUGCGUUCCAUUAGGUAGUUGGUGAGGUAACGGCUCACCAAGCCGACGAUGGAUAGGGGAACUGAGAGGUUGGUCCCCCACACUGGUACUGAGACACGGACCAGACUCCUACGGGAGGCAGCAGUGAGGAAUAUUGGUCAAUGGGCGGGAGCCUGAACCAGCCAAGUCGCGUGAAGGGAAAAGAAGGAUCUAUGGUUCGUAAACUUCUUUUGCAGGGGAAUAAAGUGCAGGACGUGUCCUGUUUUGUAUGUACCCUGAGAAUAAGGAUCGGCUAACUCCGUGCCAGCAGCAGC
rnacentral:rRNA from 1 species